UGAACGCUGGCGGCGUGCCUCAUACAUGCAAGUCGAGCGAACAGACGCGGAGCUUGCUCCUCUGACGUUAGCGGCGGACGGGUGAGUAACACGUGGAUAACCUACCUAUAAGACUGGGAUAACUUCGGGAAACCGGAGCUAAUACCGGAUAAUAUAUUGAACCGCAUGGUUCAAUAGUGAAAGACGGUUUUGCUGUCACUUAUAGAUGGAUCCGCGCCGCAUUAGCUAGUUGGUAAGGUAACGGCUUACCAAGGCAACGAUGCGUAGCCGACCUGAGAGGGUGAUCGGCCACACUGGAACUGAGACACGGUCCAGACUCCUACGGGAGGCAGCAGUAGGGAAUCUUCCGCAAUGGGCGAAAGCCUGACGGAGCAACGCCGCGUGAGUGAUGAAGGUCUUCGGAUCGUAAAACUCUGUUAUUAGGGAAGAACAAAUGUGUAAGUAACUAUGCACGUCUUGACGGUACCUAAUCAGAAAGCCACGGCUAACUACGUG
rnacentral:rRNA from 1 species